UACGGGGGGAGCAAGCGUUGUUCGGAUUUACUGGGCGUAAAGGGCGCGUAGGCGGUCGUGACAAGUCACUUGUGAAAUCUCCGGGCUUAACUCGGAACGGUCAAGUGAUACUGUGCGGCUAGAGUGCGGAAGGGGGCAACUGGAAUUCUUGGUGUAGCGGUGAAAUGCGUAGAUAUCAAGAGGAACACCUGCGGCGAAGGCGGGUUGCUGGGCCGACACGUGACGCUGAGGCGCGAAAGCCCAGGGGAGGCGAAACGGGA
rnacentral:rRNA from 1 species